rnacentral:lncRNA from 1 species
CGGUCCGCGCCGACGAACCUCGUCUUGAGGCUCGCCCACAGCUCCGCCGCCGUCUUCUUCGACGACACCUGCAGCAGGAUGUCUUCAGAGAGCGCUCCGAGGAGGUAUGCCCUCGCCGGCUUGUCCUUCUUCGCGAUGACCGCCGCCGCCGAGUCCUUCGCCGGAACCACCGCUUCCCACAGCCCUUGCGCGUCGAGGUUC